rnacentral:rRNA from 1 species
UGAGGAAUAUUGGUCAAUGGGCGGAAGCCUGAACCAGCCAAGUAGCGUGAGGGAUGACUGCCCUAUGGGUUGUAAACCUCUUUUAUAAGGGAAUAAAAUACGGGACGUGUCCUGUUUUGCAUGUACCUUAUGAAUAAGGACCGGCUAAUUCCGUGCCAGCAGCCGCGGUAAUACGGAAGGUCCGGGCGUUAUCCGGAUUUAUUGGGUUUAAAGGGAGCGCAGGCGGUCUUAUAAGCGUGACGUGAAAUGCAGCGGCUCAACCGUAUGAUGUGCGUCGCGAACUGUGAGACUUGAGUACGCACAACGUGGGCGGAAUUCGUGGUGUAGCGGUGAAAUGCUUAGAUAUCACGAAGAACU